AUUUCAAGGUUAGGGCAAUGUCUCAAGAGAUCCUUGAACCGCUCGCAAGCCUCAUAGUAGCUUUCAAAAGCGGUUUGCUUAAAGGUCUGGAUUUUCGAUCUCAGCU